CAGAAGCAGCAGUUUGAGAAAUGCCUAGGAUAUAUGGGAAGGAGAUUUGUUUAGUAAUCUCAGAGCAUGUGCUGGAGGGGCAGGGAUCUUUGGGAUGCUUCUCCAAGAACAAACAAGCUGGCAGUCACCAUUUCCCUCAUCUGCUUCCCAGCUUAAACACACAGACACUCGUGGAAACUAGUGCAGCACAACACUCCAGUAGCUUGCUAAAAGUAACCCCCACCCCAUAUUCUUCCAUGAACAUGCCCCUGCAUCCAAGCCUGGGAAGUUUUCCUAGUGGCUGCAGGUCUCCUUCAACAGCAGAUCUUGCUGGCACCACAGGCUGCACAACAAUAUUCUCCCGCAGUUUUGCUUCUCCAGAAACCCUUGGCUGAAGCCUACCCAAAGCAGUGUCAUAAGCCUGGCAGCAUGCAAGCAGCCCUGACAGGGACCAGCACUUCCAAAGUGACUCCUGCCCUAGAGAGAGGAGGAGAAAACCACACACACCAGUGUUACUACAACCCCAACAGUGGGCUAAGGGCAGACAUCAGGUAUGACAAUAAGCCCCUUCCACCAAUGAAAGCUUCUCAGUGGACAGCACAAGGAGAGCAUCCUGAAGUUUGGUGCUAUAACAUCUCUGGCAAAAGCCUGGUCUGCUUCAACUCAAGGCCAAGGUGGUCCCAGACUGACCCAGUAACAGUACAGGUACCAAACCAUUCCCAAAACAGGCACAGAGAGUUAUUGCAGAUGAUUAGACUGAAAAGAAAUGUGGCUCAGCAACAUAUGGGCACUCGCAACACACAUAAGAGACACUCCUGAAACACCAGGUUCUGGUGAACAGAGUAUAUUGCAUUAUAGGGCACUACAAGACCUCUUCUUCAUAAGGCCACUGCAUAGCUGACUUCCCUAACACACAGAUACAUGCAUAGAGUUAGAAAAAAUCAGGAGACUAAGGAAUAUGUCUGAAAUGAAAGAACAGGACAAAAUCACAGCAAGGCACCUAAACAAAAUGGAGAUAAAUAAUAUGCCUGAUCAAGAAUUGAAAAUAAUGGUCCAUGAAGAUACUCACUGGACUUUAGAAAAGAGUGGAGUACUUCAACAAAACCUUCAAUAAAGAGAUAAAAAACAAAACAAAACAAAACAAAAAAACAUAAAAUGAGAACCAAUCAGAGAUAAAGAUCUUAAUAGCUGAAAUUAAAAAUGCACUAUGGAGAAUAAACAGUAGACUAGAGGAAGGAGAAAAAUGGAUCAAUGACCUUCAGGAAAGAGUAAUGGAAAGCAAUCAAGAUGAAUAAGAGAGGGGCACUUGGGUGGCUCAGUGGUUGAGCAUCUUCAGGUCAGUUCAUGAUCCUGGGACCCUUCAAGGAGUCUGCCUCUCCCUCUGCCUGUGUCUGUGCAUCUCUCUCUCUCUCUCUCUCUCUGUAUGUGUCUCUUGAAUAAAUAAAUAAAAUCUUAAAAAUAUAUUUUAGGAGAGAGAAAAACAAAUAAUAAAAAGUGGAAAUAGAUUAAGAGAACUCAGAGGUGCCAUCAAGCAUAAUAAAUUCACAUUAUAAGGUUCCCACAAGGAAAAGAGAAAGAAAAGGGGCAGAAAAUUUACUUGAAGAAGUAAUAGCUGAAAACUUCCCACAUCUAAGGAAAGAGUUAUCCAGAUCCAGGAGGCAAAGAGAGCUUCCAAGAAAAUCAGCACAAGGAGUUCCACACGAAAACACAGAGUAAUUAAAAUGGCAAAAAGAUAUGCUAAAGAGAGAACUCCAAAAGCAGCAAAAGAGGGCAGCCCAAGUGGCUCAGCAGUUUAGCGCCACCUUCAGCCCAGGGUGUGAUCCUGGAGACCCGGGAUCAAGUCCCACAUCGGGCUCCCUGCAUGGAGCCUGCUUCUCCCUCUGUCUGUGUCUCUGCUUGUGUGUGUGUGUGUGUCUCAAGAAUAAAUAAAUAAAAUAUAUUUUUUUAAAAAAGCAGCAAAAGAAAAGGAAACUCCAUAAAGCUAUCAGCUGAUUUUUCAGCAAAUCUUUGCUGGCCAGAGGGGAUAGAUGCUAUAUCCAAAGUGCUAAAAGUUAAAACAAAAAACAAAAAAACCUGCAGGGAAAAACAGUCUGUCCAACAAGGCUGUCAUUCAGAAUAUAAAGAGAAAUAAAGUUUCUUACACAAAUAAAAUUUAAAAGGAUGUAUCACCACUAUUUCAGCCUUAUAAGAAAUGUUAAAGGAGACUGAGUGGAAAGGAAAUACCAUAAGCAGGGGUAAGAAAAGUAGGAAGCACAAAAGUAGUAAAAUCAAGUAUAUCUGUAAAAAUCACUAAAAAUCAUUCGAGGGACCCACAAAAUAAAAGGAUGAAAAUAUGAUACCAUAUACCUAAAAUGUGGUGGGGAAAGGAGCAACAAUCAACUUAAUAUAGACUGCUAGAUACAUAGGAUGUUGUAUAUAAACCUAAUGGCAACCACAAUUCUAAAACCAGUAAUAGAUGUACAAAGAAUAAAGAGAUAAUAAUCCAAGUAUAUCACUAAAGAAAGCCAGCAAACUGUGAGAGAAGGGAGCAAGAGAAGAAAGAAACAAAGAACUACAAAAACAAUCAUAAAACAAAUAACAAAAUGGCAUAAAUACAUACUUGUCAAUAAUUACUUUGAAUGUAAAUAGACUAAAUGCUCCAAUCAAAAGACAUAGGGUGAUGGAGUUUACAAAAAAUUAAGACCCAUCUAUAUGCUGCCUAUAGGAGAUUCAUUUCAGACCUAAAGACACAUGCAUAUUGAAAGCAAAGGGAUGUACAAACAUUUAUCAUACAAAUGGAAGUAAAAACAGAGCUAAAGUAGCAAUAAUUACAUCAGACAAAAUAUGCUUUAAAACUGUAGCAAGAGACAAAGAAGUACACUGCAUAAUCAUAAAUAGAAAAAUCCAAUAAGAGGAGAAAACAAUUGUGAAGAGUAUGCACCUGACAUGGGAGCACCCAAAUACAUAAAACAGUUAAUAACAAACAUUAAGGAACUAACUGAUGGCAAUACAAUAAUGGUAGGGGACUUUAACAUUCCAUUUACAUCAAUGGACAGAUCAUCCAAAUAGAAAAUCAAUAAGGGAACAGUGGCUUUGAAUGACACAGUGGACCAGAUGAAUCUAGUAGAUAUAUUCAGAACAUUCCAUCCUUAAACAGCAAAAUAUAGAUUCUUAAGUGCAUGUGGAACAUUCACAAGAAAAGAUCACUUAUUAGGUCACAAGACAAGUCUCAACAAAUUUUAAAAGAUUACUCAUACCAUUAUCUUUUCUGACCAAAACACUAUGGAACUAGAAGUCAACCACAAGAAAAAAAUCUGAAAAGAACACAAAUACAUGAAGCAUAAUUAGCAUGCUACUAAACAAUAAUUGAGUCAACCAAGAAGUCAAAGAGAAAAAAUACAUGAAGAUAAACAAAAAUGAAAACACAAUGGUCCAAAUCUUUGGGAUUCAGCAAAAGCUAUACUAAGGGGGAAGUUUACAGCCUACCUCAAGAAACAAGAAAAAUCUCAAAUAAACAACCUAACCUUACACCCAAAGAGGCUACAAAUGGAACAAAUAAAACCCAAAACAAGCAGAAGGAAGGAAAUAGGAAAUAAGAAAGAUCAGAGCAGAAAUAAAUGAUAUAGAAACUUAAAAAAAUCAAUGAAACCAGGACCUGAUUCUGGUUGAAAAGAUCAACAAAAUUGAUGAACCUCUAGCCAUAUUCAUCAAGAAAAAAAAUAGAGAUAAGACUCAGAUAAACAAAAUCAGAAAUGAUAAAAAAAAAAGGCUCUCAACAAAGUAGACAUAGAGGAACUAUACCUCAGCACAAUAACAGCCAUAUAUGACACACUCAAAACUAUCAUUAUAUUCAACUGAGAGUUUUUUCCCUAAGAUCAGAAAUAAAACAAGAAUGUCAAUUCUCCUUGUUUUUCUUCAACAUAGUACUAGAAGUCCUAGCCACAGCAAUCAGAUAAGAAAAAGAAAUGAAAGGCAUCCAAAUUAAGAGAGAAGCAAAACUUUCACUAUUUGCUGAUGACAUAGUCCUACAUAUAGAAACUUGACAGACUCCACCAAAAACCACUAGAACUGAUAAUGAAUUAAGGAAGAUCACAGGAUACAAAAUUAAUAUACAGAAAUCCAUUGUAUUUUUAUACACUAAUCAUGAAGCACACAAAGAGAAAUUAAGAAAAAAAUCCUGGGCAGCCCCGGUGGCCCAGUGGUUUAGCACUGCCUUCAGCCCAGGAUGUGAUCCUGGAGAUCUGAGAUUGAAUCCCAUGUCAGGAUCCCUGCGUGGAGCCUGCUUCUCCCUCUGUCUGUGUCUCUGCCUCUCUCUCUCUGUGUCUGUCAUGAAUAAAUAAAUAAAAUCUUAAAAGAAAAAAAAGAAAAGAAAAAUCCCAGGGUGUCUGGGUGAUUAAGUUGAUUAAGUGGCCAGCUCUUGAUUUCAGCUCGGGUUAUGAUCCCAGGACCAUGAGAUUGAGCCCAUUGAUUGGCUCUUGGGGUCUGAACUCAAAUCAUGCUCUCUCUUUCUCUCUCUCUCUCUAAAAAAUACUCUUUAAAAAAUAAAAAGUAAAAAGAAAAACAUUUAUAAAAAAUAAUACAAUCCUAUUUACAGUUGCAACAAAUAUAACAAAACACUUAAAAAUAAUUCUAACCAAGGAGGUGAAACACCUAUACUCUGAAAUCUAUGAAACACUGAUGAGAGAAAUUAGAGACAAAACAAACAAACAGAAAAACAUUUUAUGUUCAUGGAUUAGAGUAACAAAUAUUGUUAAAAUAUCUAUAUUACCCAAAGUAAUCUACACAUUUCAUGCAUUCCCUAUCAAAAUACCAAGAGCACUAAACAAAUAGAACUAAACAAACAAUCCCAAAACUUGUAUGGAACCACAAAAGACCCCCCAAAAACAAAGAAACAUUGAAAAAGAACUAGUGGUAUCACAAUCCUAGAUUUCAAGAUAUUCUACAAAACUAUAGUAACCAAAACAGUAUAGCACUGGCACGAAAAUAGACACACUGAUCAAUGGCACACAAUGGAGAGCUGAGAAAUAAACCCACAAUAAUAUGGGCAAUUAAACUUUAACAAAGGAAGCAAGAAUAUGUAAUGGGAAAAAGACCAUCUCUUCAAUAAAUGGUGUUAGGAAAACUAGACAACUUCAUGCAUCAGACUUUAGAUCUUACACCAUACACAAAAAUAAACUCAAAAUGAAUUAAAAACCUAAAUAUGAGAUCUGAAACCAUAAAAAUUUUAGAAGAGAAGACAGGCAGUAAUUUCUUUGACUUCGACCCCAGCGACAUUUUUCUAGAAUUGUCUCCUAAGGAAAAAAACAAAAAACAAAAAACAAAAACAAAAGUAAACUAUUAGGAUUACACCAAAAUAAAAAAAAAAAACUUCUACACAGCAAAGGAAAUAAUCAACAAAACUAAAAAACAAUCUACCGAAUAGGAGAAGAUAUUUGCAAAUGAUAUAUCUGAUAAAGGGUCAGUAUCCAAAAUACAUAAAGAAUUUGUACAAAUCAACACCAAAAAACCCCAAAUAAUUGAAUUUUAAAACGGGCAGAAGUUAUGAACAGAUACUUCUCCCAAAAAGUCAUACAAAAGUCCAAACAACACAUGGAAAGAUGCUCAACAUAAUUCACCAUCAGGUAACUGUACAUCAAAACCAUAGCCUGUCAGAAUGGCUAAAAAAAAAAAAAAAAGGAAAAAAAAAGAAAGAAACAAUAAGUGUUGGUGAGGCUGUGGAACAAAAGGAACCCUUGUACCCUUGUACAACAUUGGUGUGAAUGAAAACUGGUGCAGUAACUGAAGAAAACAGUAAAAACUUACCUCAAAAAUUUAAAAUUAGAAUUACCAUAUGAUCCACUAAUUCCACUACUACAUGUUUACCCAAAGAAUUUGAAAACACUAAUUCAAUAAAUAUAAGCACCCCUAUGUUUAUUGCAGCAUCAUUACAAUAGCCAAAUUAUGGAAGAGCCCAAGUCUCCAUGGAUAGAUAAAUAGAUAAAAAGGAUAGUUAGGAAAAAAAAUAUAGGUAGCUGGGUAAAUAGAUGAUACAUAUAAAUAUAGAUAGAUGAUAGAUAGAUAUAUAGAUAGAUGAUAGAUAGAUAGAUGAUAGAUAGAUAAUAGGUAGGUUUUAAUUUACACACACACACACACUCUCACACAUACACACAUAAUGGAAUAUUAGUCAUAAAAAAGAAUUAAAUCGGGGAUCCCUGGGUGGCACAGCAGUUUGGCGCCUGCCUUUGGCCCAGGGCGCGAUCCUGGAGACCCGGGAUCGAAUCCCACGUCGGGCUCCCAGUGCAUGGAGCCUGCUUCUCCCUCUGCCUGUGUCUCUGCCUCUCUCUCUCUCUCUCUGUGUGACUAUCAUAAAUUAAAAAAAAAAAAAAAAAAAAAA
rnacentral:lncRNA from 1 species